rnacentral:misc_RNA from 1 species
AAGUCGUAACAAGGUUUCCGUAGGUGAACCUGCGGAAGGAUCAUUAUCGAAUUCUUGUGGAGCCCUAGAGGUUGUGCUGGCUGGGCCUUACUUUUACGUUCGGUUCAGCAUGUGCACGCCUCGCGGGGUCUUCUCAGUUUCACACCUUUGUGCACAUCUUGUAGGGUCGUCCCUGACCGGGGGCGAACCUAUGUCUUCUUUAACGCUUUAAAAAUUGCAUGUCUAUAGAAGUUUUGCUAUAAAAAAAAACAAGUUUUUACAACUUUCAGCAAUGGAUCUCUUGGCUCUC